AUUGAACGCUGGCGGCAGGCCUAACACAUGCAAGUCGAACGAGUGGCGGACGGGUGAGUAAUGUCUGGGAAACUGCCUGAUGGAGGGGGAUAACCACUGGAAACGGUAGCUAAUACCGCAUACCCUCAGGUGUGCCCAGAUGGGAUUAGCUAGUGGGGGGGGUAACGGCUCACCAAGGCGACGAUCCCUAGCGGGUCUGAGAGGAUGACCAGCCAAACUGUAACGGAGACACGGUACAGACUACUACGGGAGGGAGCAGUGGUGUAUAUUGCACAAUGGGCGCAAGCCGGAGGCAGCCAUGCCGCGUGUAUGAAGAAGGCCUUCGGGUUGUAAAGUACUUUCAGCGGGGAGGCGUUACCCGCAGAAGAAGCACCGGCUAACUCCGUGCCAGCAGCCGAGGUAAUUC
rnacentral:rRNA from 1 species